GAUGAACGCUGGCGGUAUGCUUAACACAUGCAAGUCGAACAGUACCUUCGGGUAUAGUGGCGGACGGGUGAGUAACGCGUGAGAAUCUAUCUUCAGGUCGGGGACAACAGUUAGAAAUGACUGCUAAUACCGGAUGUGCCGAAAGGUAAAAGAUUUAUUGCCUGAAAAAGAGCUCGCGUCAGAUUAGCUAGUAGGUGGUGUAAGAGACUACCUAGGCUUCGAUCUGUAGCUGGUCUGAGAGGACGAUCAGCCACACUGGAACUGAGACACGGUCCAGACUCCUACGGGAGGCAGCAGUGGGGAAUUUUCCGCAAUGGGCGAAAGCCUGACGGAGCAAUACCGCGUGAGGGACGAAGGCUGUUGGGUCGUAAACCUCUUUUCUCAAGGAAGAUUCAGACGGUACUUGAGGAAUAAGCAUCGGCUAACUCUGUG
rnacentral:rRNA from 1 species